AGUGAACGCUGGCGGUAGGCCUAACACACGCAAGUCGAACGGCAGCACAGUAAGAGCUUGCUCUUACGGGUGGCGAGUGGCGGACGGGUGAGGAAUACAUCGGAAUCUACUUUUUCGUGGGGGAUAACGUAGGGAAAUUUACGCUAAUACCGCAUACGACCUACGGGUGAAAGCAGGGGAUCUUCGGACCUUGCGCGAUUGAAUGAGCCGAUGUCGGAUUAGCUAGUUGGCGGGGUAAAGGCCCACCAAGGCGACGAUCCGUAGCUGGUCUGAGAGGAUGAUCAGCCACACUGGAACUGAGACACGGUCCAGACUCCUACGGGAGGCAGCAGUGGGGAAUAUUGGACAAUGGGCGCAAGCCUGAUCCAGCCAUACCGCGUGGGUGAAGAAGGCCUUCGGGUUGUAAAGCCCUUUUGUUGGGAAAGAAAAGCAGCAGGUUAAUACCCCGCUGUUCUGACGGUACCCAAAGAAUAAGCACCGGCUAACUUCGUG
rnacentral:rRNA from 1 species